rnacentral:rRNA from 1 species
UACAGAGGGUGCAAGCGUUGUUCGGAAUUAUUGGGCGUAAAGAGCUCGUAGGCGGCUUGGCAAGUCGGGUGUGAAACCUCCAGGCUCAACCUGGAGACGCCACUCGAUACUGCUAUGGCUAGAGUCCGGUAGGGGACCACGGAAUUCCUGGUGUAGCGGUGAAAUGCGCAGAUAUCAGGAGGAACACCGGUGGCGAAGGCGGUGGUCUGGGCCGGCACUGACGCUGAGGAGCGAAAGCGUGGGUAGCAAACAGG